AUUGAACGCUGGCGGCAGGCUUAACACAUGCAAGUCGAGCGGGGUGAUGGUGCUUGCACUAUCACUUAGCGGCGGACGGGUGAGUAAUGCUUAGGAAUCUGCCUAUUAGUGGGGGACAACAUCUCGAAAGGGAUGCUAAUACCGCAUACGUCCUACGGGAGAAAGCAGGGGAUCACUUGUGACCUUGCGCUAAUAGAUGAGCCUAAGUCGGAUUAGCUAGUUGGUGGGGUAAAGGCCUACCAAGGCGACGAUCUGUAGCGGGUCUGAGAGGCUGAUCCGCCACACUGGGACUAAGACCCGGCCCAGACUCCUACGGGAGGCAGCAGUGGGGAAUAUUGGACAAUGGGGGGAACCCUGAUCCAGCCAUGCCGCGUGUGUGAAGAAGGCCUUAUGGUUGUAAAGCACUUUAAGCGAGGAGGAGGCUCUUUUGGUUAAUACCCAAGAUGAGUGGACGUUACUCGCAGAAUAAGCACCGGCUAACUCUGUGCCAGCAGCCGCAGUAA
rnacentral:rRNA from 1 species